rnacentral:rRNA from 1 species
UACGGGGGGGGCAAGCGUUGUUCGGAAUUACUGGGCGUAAAGGGCGUGUAGGCGGCCAACUAAGUCCGACGUGAAAUCCCCAGGCUCAACCUGGGAACUGCGUCUGAUACUGGAUGGCUUGAAUUCGGGAGAGGGAUGCAGAAUUCCAGGUGUAGCGGUGAAAUGCGUAGAUAUCUGGAGGAAUACCGGUGGCGAAGGCGCCAUCCUGGACCGACAUUGACGCUGAUGAGCGAAAGCUAGGGGAGCAAACGGG